rnacentral:tRNA from 1 species
GCGAUUGUGGCGAAGUGGUUAACGCACCUGAUUGUGGUUCAGGCAUUCGUGGGUUCGAUUCCCAUCAGUCGCCCCU